rnacentral:lncRNA from 1 species
UCCUCUUUAAUCGCUUAUUUUUAAUUUCUCAUAUAUCAUUUUCAGGAGAAAUACAAGCCAAACAUUCACAAUCAAACCUCAACCAUACUGUGUUGAGAGAACGCAGCAAAUGCAAAACAUUUCUUUUCGAACUUAUCCCAGCGGUUCUAACAGCUUGGGUAGUGCCUGCAACAGAUUUUUCAAAUCAGUUUUUCUCUACCAGUUUAAACCCGUGCAAUUUCAUAAAAAUCUGAUUAGAAAGCUUUAAAAAAGCAUGAUAUGAAGGCUUCGAGUUAAUUACUACUUAUACUUACAGAAUACUACACAAACAGACUUCGAUUUAAGCUCCAAAAAUCAUCCCAAAAUCCAAAUAAAACGUGUUUCUCGGGUCAGUGAUGACACCCAGAGCUUUGUACAAUUUUCUUCGCAUGCACAGGUUGUAUUUAGGAUUAUUCUACCUACCUAAGUGAUCUACUAUGUUUGAACUAUUUCUUAGAUAGAUAAGCCAGCUUAAAUGGAAAAGAAAACGAAUGAAAUUUAUUCUUGAAGUUUCGGGUUCGAACACUUACCAAAGGUGAUCGAGUGGAAGGUGUUUCCUUGCAUUUUGUUGCGUUUGGUCAAGUUACAAACUCCUACAAAUCACACUUAAUUUCUUCCAGUAUUGAUUAACAGAACUUAGAAAUCAUCGUUUGAAGAAUGAAGGAAAACCUUACCAAUUAAGGCGGUCGGGUCGCAUGGUGACCCGGUGAGGUCCCUCGGGUUUUCCCUGGUUUCUUUGCUUUCCAAAUGUGCCCCCCGUGUCUAUGGUGGUCACCAGCUCACUCCCUCUAAUUUUUUUCUGGUGCGAAGGUUUCUAACAGCCCACACACUCCCUCUUCCUCGACUGAGCUUUCUUCACUCUCUCGGGUGCCCUCUGUCUCAUCGAAGGAAGAAGAUUUCCUUACAUAUGAGAGUAAAUUUGGGAAAACAAAUCUUUAUCGUCCGCCUCCAUGUAGCAUGUUCGGACCGUUGCAU